UUCUCACAGCGUAAAAGUUAACUCAAAUUUGUAUGAAGUUGGAACGUUUGGCUAUGUUUGCCGCCUAGGGGCGUUUUUCCAACUGCAUACAAAUUUGAGUUAACUUUUACGCUGUAGA
rnacentral:pre_miRNA from 9 species